AGCCGCGACGUCGUGGCGCCUGGUUUUCCACGCAGAGGAAGGGUGGCAGCUCGCCAUUGGACGAAGGGAGGGAAGCGCCUGGCCAGUGAGGUGCCGCCGGCGGGCGGAUGCUUUGACUCCUGUCUACUCUGCUGAGUUCCUGGAACUGUGUUCCCUUCAAAUGAAGUAGUAGGCACUGAAGUUUUCAGGUAUAUUUGAAGCUGAAGACUGUACCCCAAAAAUUCUUGUUCUGUUUACUUAUUAGAGUGACUUGUUUUGUAACUUAAAAAUGGAAAAAAAUGUUUAAGAAAUACCACAGCUAAUCUAAAGGAUGUCUUGAUGUGCAAUCAUCUGGCAAAGUGGUAAGAGAAUAAUGGCUGUCUUUCCUUGUCAGUUAAAUUAUGUUAAAAAUCAAAUAUUUUACUAUUUAUAACAAGCGAUAACAUAAGUGAGACAAGACUGCUUUGGUAAAUGAUUCCUUUAUAAAAAAUACCAGACUCAAA